GAUGAACGCUGGCGGCGUGCCUAACACAUGCAAGUCGAACGGAGAUUUAACGCUGAUGAAGCUUCGGCAGAUUCUUGUUAAAUCUUAGUGGCGGACGGGUGAGUAACGCGUGGGCAACCUGCCUCAUACUGGGGGAUAACAGCUGGAAACGACUGUUAAUACCGCAUAAGCGCACGGUAUCGCAUGAUACAGUGUGAAAAACUCCGGUGGUAUGAGAUGGGCCCGCGUCAGAUUAGCCAGUUGGCAGGGUAACGGCCUACCAAAGCGACGAUCUGUAGCCGGCCUGAGAGGGCGGACGGCCACAUUGGGACUGAGACACGGCCCAAACUCCUACGGGAGGCAGCAGUGGGGGAUAUUGCACAAUGGAGGAAACUCUGAUGCAGCGACGCCGCGUGAGUGAAGAAGUAUUUCGGUAUGUAAAGCUCUAUCAGCAGGGAAGAAAGACUCGUAAGAGAGAUGACGNAC
rnacentral:rRNA from 1 species